ensembl:lncRNA
UUUUGCUCCAGUGACCUGAGUAGAAUACUAAGAAGGCUGCCUCUCAAUAUGAUGCUCUGAUAAAAACGUUCUCAAGAAGAGAAUGAAGGACGACCCAGAGAAGUACAGGCUGGUCAGCCUCACAUUAUUCCCUUGGGUGGUUGUGGAACAGCUAAUUCUGGAAAUAGUGUCCAGGUGCAAAGAGAUGGAAUUCAGAAGGUGCCAAAUCCGGACUAUACAAGAGAAAGUUGUCAAUUCCCUUAACAAGCAAUAAAUAUCACGUUACAAUUCACGGUUCUGGAAGAAUGCAGAAGGCAAAAGAACAAGAAAUAACAAGUUGAAUACGUGUUAUGGGUGUAAUCCUUCUGGGAUGUGUGUGUCCAUGAAGUUCAGGAUGUCCAUUUUUUAAAUUUUCCCUCUCCCUCUCUGAAUGUUUUUCUUUGUUGUCACUCAGAUAUACUAGACAGAUGUUUGCAUAUAUAUUCUGAAAGAAAAUGCGUUACUUGAUUCAUUUAUAUGAUUUAGCCAUGGAUACUGAUUAAUAUGAAAUUGUAUUUUAUAAUAAAAUACAGCUGCCAAAGAAGUGAAAAUAAGGAAUGAUGAAUGAAUAUUUACACAAUACUGUUUAACUAUUUUCCUGUAAAAGAUUCAAAUAGGAAGUAGUGGAUGGUAAGUAAAGAUGAAGAGCAGUUGAGAACUGAUGAAAACUGCCAUCAAAAAGUCUCAGCCAGCUAGUUUCAGGAGAACAAAUUUCUGAGAAUGAAUUUCUGAAGACAACUGCAUUAAUACUUGUGAGGUAUAUAUACAAUACAUAUACUAUGCAAAUCUUUUUUAAAAAAGUUAGUAAUUCCUUAAUCAUUGCAGAUUUUAAAUGCUAUAUAUUGUAAAUAAUAUGUAGACCAUCACCAGAUGGCAAUAAAAAGAAGUUUAGUUAACUUUACAUUGUAUAGGUAUAAAUACCUCUACUUUGAACAUCACACCUCCUAGGUACUGAAAGAAGGAAAGGGUCUUAUGAAAAUUACUAUUCUUAAGCUACCUGACAUUAGUUAUAUUUAUGCUGUUUUGCAUAGAAGGGCUUGAUUCAAGGUUACUUGGACAGCCCAAAUUUUCAUGUUUUU